GGAUGCUGGAAAUUGAACUCAGGACCUCUGGAAGAACAAGAUGAACUUUAAGUCGGCAGUCUCAGAGCAAGGCCCUUUACCUGAAGAACUAUCUUGCCAACCUCUCGCUGAGACAGGGCCUUGUCUCAUAAUCUUGGCUGGCCUGGCACUUCCACAAUUGUAGCCCAGGUUAGUAGCAAACUCAGGAAGAUCUUCCUGCCUCAGCCCUGGAUCCCAGUGCUGGGAUCAGAUAUGUACAUCAUACCUAGACACACUCACAUUAUUAUUAUUAUUUUUUAAGGCAGGAUCUCACUGUGUAGCCCCUGGCUGAAUUGGAAAUCACAGCCAUCCUCCUGCCUCUGCUUCCCAAGUGGUAUGAUUAAAGACAUGUGCCACUAGGUCUGGCUCACACAUUCUUAGAACAUUUGCAUGUUCUCACACGGGGCACACGCGUGCACGCCCACGCAGCCCCUCACCCUCACUUUCAUCGCCAGCCACACUCGUGCGCUUGGCCACACACACCUUCAGUUCAUUGCUGAUUUCGUGCUUCUUGAUGGUGGCGGCUUCCCACACCCGGAUGCAGAAGUCCCAGGAUGAGAACACUUUGGCGCUGAGGGGUGUCCUGUAGCGCUGACCCAAGAGUGUCUGCUGGGGUAGGCCUUCUGCCAUCCUGGUGGAAGGGGGAAGGAUUUCUGUGGUGGUGGGGGGGUCCCUCCACCCUCGCCAUACAGGAGGCGGAACCAGGAUGAGUCUCACUGCACAGUGAUCUAUCUGCCAACUGAGGAUCUCUGUGGCCCGGGAAGGAUGGCCAAGGAUGGAGGCCUGGAGGAUGUGGGGUCGUCCCUCACCUCUGCAGUAUCCCACAGAAACAGAGGAGCAGGCAGACCAUCGGGCUAAGGAGGUAGGCCAGGCGGAUGCUGUAUUCAGAGCUGCUCUCUGGCCCCGCUCGGUAGGCACCGUAGAAGAGAUAGGUGUUGUUGAAGGCCUGGAGAGACAGUGAGGGCAUCUGAAUGAAGCUGAGUGCAGGGCCCUGAAGUGCUUGCCCUGGAAGGACAAGAUCUCCUUUCCUAUCCCAGGCAAGCCUUGAACUUGAAAUCCUCCUGCUGCCUGGCCUAAGAGCAUCCCUGUUUUACACACACUCAAAGAAGCCAGGUGACUUGCCCAAGGCUGCAGGGAUUUGGACCCAGGACUCAGGCUACUGGCUCAGCGGCCUCCAGGAAUUGGGAGGUGUUGUCGCGCCACCCGCCUCGGGCGAUGCCACCGCUGCCAGAAGGUGGUCUUCACUCCCUCGGGCUCCCGCAGUUCCCUGCAGGACCGUGGUGACAGGGGGGCGCCCUUGAGUAAUCCAUCUGACAGAUGCAUCCUCCGGAGGCCCCCCACCCCCACCCCACCCCUGCGCAGCUCGUCCAGAGUAGCCGAGCGGCACCCACCGGAUGAAGCGCUUGUCUGCCAUGGCGUAAGGCAGCAUCCGCACAGGCGUCCGGGAGGCGCAUAGCCGCUCCACUUCUUGCUCCCACAGCUCCUCCGAGGCCGCCUGGGAUUCAGGCCUUCGUGGGGCUGGUCCUGACUGCACCGACCACUGGCGAAACAUCCCAGUGGGCGCGCGGGACAGACAGGCAAGAUCCUUGCUCGCAGGAGCUCCACCUUGGCCCUGCCAGUGUCCACAGUGAAAAGAAGCCUGCUGUGGUCGAAGCCGGGGCUGCCCCACUCCACCUCUCAAACAGACCCACUGACCAAGGCCUUAGUCUUCAACUGCCAAGCACGGUGAAAGGCCUCCAGGAUAUGAGGAGAGAGAAGCCGCGGGCAAAGGCUGUCUGUCCUAAACCUUACCUUACGCUUUAGAAAAACACAAUCUUUUCCCAUGUGCUGAUUGGCUUUUGGGAGGUCACUCCUGUCCCGAACCCCCGACAGCUCCUAGAAUUUAGCUUCCUGCAACACCCCAGCUCUGGAUGUACUAGGGCUCCGUUCUCUCUGUGUGUGUUUGUUUUGUUUUUUUGAGACAGGGUUUCUCUGUGUAGCCCUGGCUGUCCUAGAAUUCACUCUGUA